rnacentral:rRNA from 1 species
GACGAACGCUGGCGGCGUGCUUAACACAUGCAAGUCGAGCGGAAAGGCCCCUUCGGGGGUACUCGAGCGGCGAACGGGUGAGUAACACGUGAGCAACCUGCCCCUGACUUCGGGAUAAGCCCGGGAAACUGGGUCUAAUACCGGAUAUGACCAUUGCCCGCAUGGGUUGGUGGUGGAAAGUUUUUCGGUUGGGGAUGGGCUCGCGGCCUAUCAGCUUGUUGGUGGGGUGAUGGCCUACCAAGGCGACGACGGGUAACCGGCCUGAGAGGGCGACCGGUCACACUGGGACUGAGACACGGCCCAGACUCCUACGGGAGGCAGCAGUGGGGAAUAUUGCGCAAUGGGCGGAAGCCUGACGCAGCGACGCCGCGUGGGGGAUGACGGCCUUCGGGUUGUAAACCUCUUUCAGCAUCGACGAAGCCUUCGGGUGACGGUAGGUGCAGAAGAAGCGCCGGCUAACUACGUGCCAGCAGCCGCGGUAAUACGUAGGGCGCAAGCGUUGUCCGGAAUUAUUGGGCGUAAAGAGCUCGUAGGCGGUUUGUCGCGUCUGUCGUGAAAGCCCACGGCUUAACUGUGGGUCUGCGGUGGAUACGGGCAGGCUAGAGGCAGGUAGGGGAGAAUGGAAUUCCCGGUGUAGCGGUGAAAUGCGCAGAUAUCGGGAGGAACACCGGUGGCGAAGGCGGUUCUCUGGGCCUGUACUGACGCUGAGGAGCGAAAGCGUGGGGAGCGAACAGGAUUAGAUACCCUGGUAGUCCACGCCGUAAACGUUGGGCGCUAGGUGUGGGGUUCUUCCACGGAUUCCGCGCCGUAGCUAACGCAUUAAGCGCCCCGCCUGGGGAGUACGGCCGCAAGGCUAAAACUCAAGGAAUUGACGGGGGCCCGCACAAGCGGCGGAGCAUGUUGCUUAAUUCGACGCAACGCGAAGAAUCUUACCAAGGCUUGACAUCGCCGGAAAUCCCGCAGAGAUGCGGGGUCCUUUUUGGGCCAGUGACAGGUGGUGCAUGCUGUCGUCAGCUCGUGUCGUGAGAAUGUUGGUAAGUUCCCGCACGAGCGCAACCCUCGUCAAUGUGCAGCAACACUUCCGGGUGUUGGGACUCAUGGGAGAACGCCCGGUUCACCCUCGAAGGAAACGUUGGGCGA